rnacentral:pre_miRNA from 1 species
UGACUACUUCCUCUGUCCGAAAAAACUUGUCCCUCAAAUGGAUGUAUCUAGCACCAAGUUAGUGCUAGAUACAUCCAUUUGAGGGACAAGCUUGGGACAAGCUUUUUCGGACGGAGGGAGUAUUAA